rnacentral:antisense_RNA from 1 species
GGGGUUUGCAACAGGAGGGCAUCGCGCGACGGGAUAUCGCCGCCGAUGUGAUAAGGCAGGCCGCAGUUGGCAAAGCUGAUAAAUUCACCGCGUUCAAACACAAUGAUCUCGGCAUGCUCGUCCAUACGACGAGCCCGGGCCGCGGCCGAAGCACCGCCGGCCACACCAC